UACGGAGGGUGCAAACGUUGCUCGGAAUCAUUGGGCGUAAAGCGCACGUAGGCGGUCCAGCAAGUCGGGUGUGAAAGCCCUCGGCUUAACCGAGGAAGUGCAUUCGAAACUACUGGACUUGAAUACUGGAGAGGAUCGCGGAAUUCCCGGUGUAGAGGUGAAAUUCGUAGAUAUCGGGAGGAACACCAGUGGCGAAGGCGGCGAUCUGGACAGAUAUUGACGCUGAGGUGCGAAAGCGUGGGGAGCAAACAGGAUUAGAAACCCCCGUAGUCC
rnacentral:rRNA from 1 species